UGCAGUCCUGGAACUGCGCCAGGCAAUGUGGAAGUCAUUGAGAUUUACCAGCAUCAUUUCCAUAAUCGUUUUUGGAUGCACAACAGCUGAAGAUUGUGCCUGGAUUCCCCUUUGCAAGCAUUCUGGAGUCACAACAUCGGCAUAGAAGGUGGCCAGCCUUCGGCUUUUGCAGUCGUUUGUGGAGUCUUUAUGGAAGAGCAGCGUGGUCAAGAGACCACGGCUGCGUAACCCCGUCUGCAGUAUGUGAGGCCGGAGUGCUGACCCUGGACCUGCCCAGUCAUGCCUUCUCGGUCAGCUGUUCAUCUCAUCUGCUACCACGAGAGCCCGGAGUCUCAUCUUUCAGUGACUUAUCAAGGCUAGACUAUUCCUCAGAAUCUCCACUGUGAAUCAGAAUACUGUUAAGAUAAACGUUAAUGCUUAAGUCAAAAAUAU
rnacentral:lncRNA from 1 species